rnacentral:rRNA from 1 species
UACGUAGGGUGCGAGCGUUAAUCGGAAUUACUGGGCGUAAAGCGUGCGCAGGCGGUUGUACAAGUCAGGUGUGAAAUCCCCGGGCUUAACCUGGGAACUGCACUUGUGACUGUACGACUGGAGUACGGCAGAGGGGGAUGGAAUUCCGCGUGUAGCAGUGAAAUGCGUAGAUAUGCGGAGGAACACCGAUGGCGAAGGCAAUCCCCUGGGCCUGUACUGACGCUCAUGCACGAAAGCGUGGGGAGCAAACAGG